rnacentral:rRNA from 1 species
AUGGAACAAUGGUUCCAGCUGGAGGAAAUUGCUAGGAGUAUUGUCUUUUUUGAUGAGAUAGAUUCUCCGAUCUGGCAAUUAGAAAACAGGGGGCAAUACUCCUCUAGCUCCCUCUAGCAUAUUAUUAAUUUUAGGGGGGUUCAGCCUAUUUUCAUCCCAGCAGUCUGGAAGUUGAGAGUUCCCCCCAAAAUUCAUGUCUUUCUCUGGCUCCUCUCUAACAACAAGCUGAUGACCAGGGAUAAUCUUAGAAAAAGACACAUCAUCAAACCCCUUGAAUGUGUCUAUUGUUUGGAGCAAGAAUCCUGAUCCCACCUUUUCUUUGAUUGCAUUGUUGCCAAGCACCUUUGGGUCCCUGUUGAUUACUUCAACACUCAGAUUGGCUCUUCCUUUGAAUAUGUUGCUAGAUUCUGGAUUGCUAACAAGCAGUGCUAUGUUUUGAAUACUGUUAGCUCAACAGUCCUGUGGUGUGUCUGGAAAUAUAGAAAUGCUAUGAUUUUGAUAACACCACCUGGAUUUCUGUUCCUCAGGUCUUGA